rnacentral:rRNA from 1 species
CCUACGGGUGGCAGCAGUGAGGAAUAUUGGUCAAUGGCCGUGAGCCUGAACCAGCCAAGUCGCGUGAAGGAAGACUGAUCUAUGGUUUGUAAACUUCUUUUAUAAGGGAAUAAAGUUAUCCACGUGUGGAUUUUUGCAUGUACCCUAUGAAUAAGCAUCGGCUAACUCCGUGCCAGCAGCCGCGGUAAUACGGAGGAUCCGAGCGUUAUCCGGAUUUAUUGGGUUUAAAGGGUGCGUAGGUUGUUUUUUAAGUCAGCGGUGAAAGUUUGUGGCUCAACCAUAAAAUUGCCAUUGAAACUGGAAGACUUGAGUGUGUUUGAGGUAGGCGGAAUGCGUGGUGUAGCGGUGAAAUGCAUAGAUAUCACGCAGAACUCCGAUUGCGAAGGCAGCUUACUAAGCUAUAACUGACAUUGAAGCACGAAAGCGUGGGUAUCAAACAGGAUUAGAUACCCUUGUAGUC